UAAAAAUGAUGUUUUCUAUUUUUUGCUGAACCCAACACUGUUGAUUAGAAGAUGAGCUUUAUAAGCUAAUUAAU